GAUGACAGUCGCUUCUGGAUUGGCGUGAUGGACAGGUGUGAGUGUCCUGUGGUGUAAAAGCAGCUGAAGGGUGACUGACGUCCGUGACAGUUGUGAGACCUGGAAACAGACAAAGGGGUUUUAUGGAACUUCCUGUUUCAAUGAACUAAUAUAAGAGUUUCAACAGGAAGAGGAGGGCUACUGAAAAAAGGAGAGAAGAGAACAUUGAACUGUCAUUGGAUGAGAAGUAAUCUGUCUUCUUCACUUCCUGCUUGGAUAUUUAACAACAAAAAAGUGCAAUGCCUCAUGGGAAUCUACCAUAGAAGAGCUGAAAUUUUAACACUUAGCUGCCAGGGGAUACUGGGAACUUAGAGUUUAGAGAAAGAGAUCAAUGUUAUCUGAACUACAGAAAAGGAGUCUACAAACAUCCCUUUAAGCUAUUAUUCACAAGGGAUCAAAUUGCGAGCUAAAGCACGACUGACUCGAAAGCACAUGAUGCAGAACAAGUGCAAGUUAGGUGUAAAGUUGUCUCUCUUCAGGCAAUCUUUGCUGAAUAGUGCAAAGUUUCUACUUCAGCACCAAGGAGAGCUGAGAGUUUGCACAGCCAGAGGGAGCGAGCUAAAGAACUGUGAGGACAAAGGCAGACAAGAAAACUCUCAGUGCAAAGCCUGGUUGUCAGUUUGGGCACUUCUCCUCCACAGAAGCACUGACACCAACAAAAAACAAACAGAAGCUAACUAAGCACGCCAAAAGACAACAAUGAAGGCUUCCUCCUGCAUAUGUCAAAUAAAGUGAGUACCCAAACAUCACACAUCCACUCUAGCAACUCAGAGGCAUCAAGCCACCUUCCCUGGCUAGCUAUGGCUCCCCCUAUCCGUCUCUCCAUUUCCUUGUUUUUAGCAUAGCACAAUGUCCUCUCCCUCCCCUCUCUUCAAUAGUGAUCAAACUCCUUAAAACACCUGAAAAACACUCUUCCUAUCAUUGAAUGUGAUCCAUGGUGUCUUUAUGUACCCCAAUCCAUUCCCAGGACCAUUAUUAGCAAGGAACAAAGCACCCCUUACCUCUUGAGAGUUCCUUUCCCUCU